AGUGAACGCUGGCGGUAGGCCUAACACAUGCAAGUCGAACGGCAGCACAGUAAGAGCUUGCUCUUACGGGUUGCGAGUGGCGGACGGGUGAGGAAUACAUCAGAAUCUACUUUUUCGUGGGGGAUAACGUAGGUAAACUUACGCUAAUACCACAUACGACCUACGGGUGAAAGCAGGGGAUCUUCGGACCUUGCGCGGUUGAAUGAGCCGAUGGCGGAUUAGCUAGUUGGCGGGUUAAAGGCCCACCAAGGCGACGAUCCGUAGCUGGUCUGAGAGGAUGAUCAGCCACACUGGAACUGAGACACGGUCCAGAAUCCUACGGGAGGCAGCAGUGGGGAAUAUUGGACAAUGGGCGCAAGCCUGAUCCAGCCAUACCGCGUGGGUGAAGAAGGCCUUCGGGUUGUAAAGCCCUUUUGUUGGGAAAGAAAAGCAGCAGGUUAAUACCCCGCUGUUCUGACGGUACCCAAAGAAUAAGCACCGGCUAACUUCG
rnacentral:rRNA from 1 species